rnacentral:rRNA from 1 species
GUGGGGAAUCUUAGACAAUGGGCGCAAGCCUGAUCUAGCCAUGCCGCGUGAGCGAUGAAGGCCUUAGGGUUGUAAAGCUCUUUCGUGGGGGAAGAUAAUGACUGUACCCCAAGAAGAAGCCCCGGCUAACUCCGUGCCAGCAGCCGCGGUAAUACGGAGGGGGCUAGCGUUGUUCGGAAUUACUGGGCGUAAAGCGCACGUAGGCGGACUGGAAAGUCAGGGGUGAAAUCCCGGGGCUCAACCCCGGAACUGCCUUUGAAACUCCCAGUCUUGAGUUCGAGAGAGGUGAGUGGAAUUCCGAGUGUAGAGGUGAAAUUCGUAGAUAUUCGGAGGAACACCAGUGGCGAAGGCGGCUUACUGGGCCGUAACUGACGCUGAGGCGCGAAAGCGUGGGGAGCGAACAGGAUUAGAAACCCCGGUAGUCC